rnacentral:rRNA from 1 species
GACGAACGCUGGCGGCGUGCCUAAUACAUGCAAGUAGAACGCACAGUUUAUACCGUAGCUUGCUACACCAUAGACUGUGAGUUGCGAACGGGUGAGUAACGCGUAGGUAACCUGCCUGGUAGCGGGGGAUAACUAUUGGAAACGAUAGCUAAUACCGCAUAAUAUUAAUUAUUGCAUGAUAAUUAAUUGAAAGGUGCAAUUGCACCACUACCAGAUGGACCUGCGUUGUAUUAGCUAGUAGGUGAGGUAACGGCUCACCUAGGCGAUGAUACAUAGCCGACCUGAGAGGGUGAUCGGCCACACUGGGACUGAGACACGGCCCAGACUCCUACGGGAGGCAGCAGUAGGGAAUCUUCGGCAAUGGACGAAAGUCUGACCGAGCAACGCCGCGUGAGUGAAGAAGGUUUUCGGAUCGUAAAGCUCUGUUGUAAGAGAAGAACGGGUGUGAGAGUGGAAAGUUCACACUGUGACGGUAUCUUACCAGAAAGAGACGGCUAACUACGUG